CUAAAAUGAUGACAGUUACAGUUCUGCUACUGAAACUUUGUUUGAAGACAAACAAAUACCAAAAAAUCACUGAUAA